AACGUACCCAGAAGUGGGGGAUAACGUAGCGAAAGUUACGCUAAUACCGCAUACGUUCUACGGAAGAAAGUGGGGGAUCGCAAGACCUCAUGCUUUUGGAGCGGCCGAUGUCUGAUUAGCUAGUUGGUGAGGUAAAGGCUCACCAAGGCGACGAUCAGUAGCUGGUCUGAGAGGACGACCAGCCACACUGGGACUGAGACACGGCCCAGACUCCUACGGGAGGCAGCAGUGGGGAAUUUUGGACAAUGGGCGCAAGCCUGAUCCAGCAAUGCCGCGUGAGUGAAGAAGGCCUUCGGGUUGUAAAGCUCUUUUGUC
rnacentral:rRNA from 1 species